CAGAAAUACGAUAUAGCCAAGAAGGGAACUCGCGGUCUCACCCAAUUUAACAAAAGUUUUGGUGGAGAAUAUCAGUAAAGAAGCAGGCCAAGGGAAACCUGUUCUGCUCAAUGUGCCUAAAACAUUAUUUGCCGUAUAUGGCCACAGCAAAAGUUUUAUCAUGCCGGUUUGAGUCGGGUCGCUUUACUUUUGUAAAACUGUCCGUUCAAGGGGCCUCGGCAUCGCAAGCUCAUCAUUUGCUAACGAAUGGCGCCAUCUGCUCUGCCACCCGUUCCCGACAAAAAAAAAAAAAAGAAACAAAAAAAAGACGAACACACGUAGGAAAAAAUGUAAACUUCUCGUCACUCCUCAAUAAAUAUUUUGUUAUCCGGAUAAGAGUUCAGGUGCUUUGAUUUUAGCGAAGCUCUCGUGUUAACGAAAUUCGACAUGCCCGUAGAGGAGACGACAGCGUGCUAAAGCUGUGCCUGCGCGUCACGACACCAUGCAUCAUGCCGUACGUGUAACAAUCGGCCCACGUGCUAAACGUUCUGCAUAAACAACCACACGCUAUAUACGCACUAUACGCAAAGCCGUCAUCUUGAUAUAUAGGAAGCGCCGAGUUGCUCCCGCGUACAGAGCUAUACGAUUGUUUUUUUUUUUUUUUUUCUGUCGUUGGUCGCACUGCACAUGUUCCAAGCAGCUGUUUCUUUUCAACCCCGCGCUGACACUCAUCACUUGGUCUCAUUGCAAUGGAGCGCGCGUGAAUCGCGUCACGUCGGCAAGACGAGCAUCGCGCGCUCAGAAAAAAACAAGAUCUCGUUCCUCGCAUGCAGUGAUCAGAUCGGGCGGGAGAAAAGGACGCAUACUCGGCGUCGUAGUCGCGCUGUAAAAUUCUGCGCACAAUUUGGUUAAAUUCUGGCUUCUUAAGUGCAAAAGCCGUCAUCUUAUUGCGAGACACGCCGAAGUGGAGGACUCCGGAAUAAUUUAGGGGAAGCAGGGGAAGCGCCGGCAGCGCCGAAGGCUCUUCGUCGACAUGUCGCGAGGUCGGAGUCGGCCGACUGUCCAUCAUCUCCGAGAACAUCGUGCGGCUCAACAGGUUCCUGGCCCUUCUUACGCUCCACCUGGGAUCCGCGCAAGGACGUCAUCUCUCGCCGAAAGGAUCUACCAGGCGUUCCUGUUGCGAGAAGCAUCAGGACCGUUGCAAAAAAGCGACAACAGACUCCGUCACAUGAUUUAGUGGUUGGGAACCCUGCUGCCGACGACGUCAAAAGCCGGUUGCGACUAAACUACAUGCGGUACAGCAAGACUUUCACCUCGAAGAAUCGAACCAACUUAUUCCAUGACUCUUUUACUCCGAGAACACAUCAGUACUGGAACCUCCUUCCUGCAUCCAUCGCCACCUUCCCGGACACCGCGAACUUCAAUUGGCAGUAUAGUGCAAACCACACUUGCUUACUUUUGUAUUGCUCUUAAAACCACUGCUUUAGUUAGGGCCUUCGAGUUUUAAUUGCUAUGAAAUAAAUAAAUAAAUAAAUAAAUAAAUAAAUAAAUAAAUAAAUAAAUAAAUAAUUUUCUGAAACCAUGCGUUUUGCAACGUAUAACCUCAUUUGCGUGAAUGGGCCGACACAUUGGGCCUAUAUAUUUACAGUCCAACCUUGUUUCUCUGACGGUAUGGGAUGGUUUCAGUGAGAAAAGAAAUGCAAUGAUUGUGUCUGGACAGCAAAUUGUAUUGGUUUUAUUUUGCUAACCCGUUCGUGCAAUCACGUGCUUUGGAGUGGUUGACAGAAGCUGCUUUUGUAUGUAGAAUACUAACAGUUCACGAAGAUACUGUAGAUGUGUGCCACGACGACUGCAGUGACCUAACAGUGUGUUUUCUACAAUAAACGUAUAUCGAUAUACAUAUACAUGUUCAUUAAAUAUUGUUGCUUUUGAAACAAUGUACGGAAAAAAAUGAAAGAAAUUGCUCUAUUUUUUGAUGUUGUAAAAGACUCAGAACCUGCAUUAAAAUGGUAUUCUGUUGUC